rnacentral:rRNA from 1 species
CAGCAGCCGCGGGAAUACGAAGGGUGCAAGCGUUGAUCGGAAUUACUGGGCGUAAAGCGUGCGUAGGCGGUGAGUUAAGUCUGCUGUGAAAUCCCCGGGCUCAACCUGGGAAUGGCAGUGGAUACUGGCUCGCUAGAGUGUGUCAGAGGAUGGUGGAAUUCCCGGUGUAGCGGUGAAAUGCGUAGAGAUCGGGAGGAACAUCAGUGGCGAAGGCGGCCAUCUGGGACAACACUGACGCUGAGGCACGAAAGCGUGGGGAGCAAACAGGAUUAGAUACCCCUGUAGUCCCUGUCUCUUAUAC